rnacentral:rRNA from 1 species
CAGUAGCCACGGUAAUACGGAGGGCGCGAGCGUUACCCGGAUUUACUGGGCGUAAAGCGUGCGUAGGUGGUGGUUUAAGUCCGUUGUGAAAGCCCUGGGCUCAACCUGGGAAUUGCAGUGGAUACUGGGUCACUAGAGUGUGGUAGAGGAUAGUGGAAUUUCCGGUGUAGCAGUGAAAUGCGUAGAGAUCGGAAGGAACAUCUGUGGCGAAGGCGACUAUCUGGGCCAACACUGACACUGAGGCACGAAAGCGUGGGGAGCAAACAGGAUUAGAUACCCCCGUAGUCCCUGUCUCUUAUAC